rnacentral:rRNA from 1 species
UGGGGAAUAUUGCACAAUGGGCGAAAGCCUGAUGCAGCGACGCCGCGUGCGGGAUGAAGGCCUUCGGGUUGUAAACCGCUUUUGAUUGGGAGCAAGCGAGAGUGAGUGUACCUUUCGAAUAAGCACCGGCUAACUACGUGCCAGCAGCCGCGGUAAUACGUAGGGUGCAAGCGUUAUCCGGAAUUAUUGGGCGUAAAGAGCUCGUAGGCGGUUUGUCGCGUCUGGUGUGAAAGUCCAUCGCUUAACGGUGGAUCUGCGCCGGGUACGGGCAGGCUAGAGUGCGACAGGGGAGACUGGAAUUCCCGGUGUAACGGUGGAAUGUGUAGAUAUCGGGAAGAACACCAAUGGCGAAGGCAGGUCUCUGGGUCGUCACUGACGCUGAGGAGCGAAAGCGUGGGGAGCGAACAG